ensembl:lncRNA
CCCGGCCUUUCAGAGGCACGGGGCUGCGAGGUGUGGGCUUGGGCUUGCGCCCUCCCUGGAAGUUGAGGCUGGGAUCCCGACUGCGGCCUUUGGCCGUGCCGCCCCGCUGCCUGGCUGCUGAGAGUUGUUCCUGCCGCUGGGGGGGAAACCGAGCUCUGUGGCUCCAGGGGUGUCGUCCACCCGCCUGUAAUCAGGGUCUGGGUGCGCGAGCGUUUGUGCUCUGCUGGCAGCCUGUGUGGGGUGACCGCCCCGUUAGCGGGGUGUGGGUCGAGGUGCCCCGGACUGGGAGAGAAGGAGCCUCUCCCGGCCGUAGGGAUGGGGGCUGCCCUGUAAGUCAGGGAGCAACCGUGCCCCGGAGUCCCAGGCCCUUUGCGUUGGAGGCAGUGGCUGGGGGCCCCCUGUAAGCAGGGAAGCUGGCUCUUUGGCCGCUGCUUUUUGUACGCCCAGCCCCAUUUGCCCAGCCUGCCCGCCUCUGUGAUCCCCCGCAGCACCGGCUGGAAGUCCGCCGCGCGUCAGUGAGGAGCUGCUGCAGAAGAAGAAGAAGCAGCGGCGUGGGGACCUGGG